ACAUCUCAUGGUCCUGUCAUGGUCCAGUAAGUGGGAACAUGUCAUAUAGAUUAACCUAUGUGGCUGUAUAGGUGACAGGUACUCUUUGAUUUAUUCCAGGAUCUGUGUUGGGUAAUCUUGAUGAAAAAGAUAAAAUACAGUGUUUUUUUACAUUUUCCAAAAAAAUAAAAA